rnacentral:rRNA from 1 species
GACGAACCGUGCGAACGUUGUUCGGAAUCACUGGGAUUAAAGGGCGCGUAGGCGGGUUGUCCAGUCUGGGGUGAAAUCCCACGGCUCAACCGUGGAAUUGCCGCAGAUACCGACGAACUAGAGGGUGGGAGGGGCGAGUGGAACUGUGGGUGGAGCGGUGAAAUGCGUUGAGAUCCGGAGGAACUCCGGUGGCGAAGGCGGCCCGCUGGCCCUAUUCUGACGCUGAGGCACGAAAGCUAGGGGAGCAAACGGG